rnacentral:rRNA from 1 species
CAGUCGAGCGGAAGGCCACUUCGGUGGUACUCGAGCGGCGAACGGGUGAGUAACACGUGAGUAAUCUGCCCCUGGCUUCGGGAUAGCCACCGGAAACGGUGAUUAAUACCGGAUAUGACACGGACUCGCAUGGGUUUGUGUGGAAAGUUUUUCGGCCAGGGAUGUGCUCGCGGCCUAUCAGCUUGAUGGUGAGGUAAUGGCUCACCAUGGCUUCGACGGGUAGCCGGCCUGAGAGGGUGACCGGCCACACUGGGACUGAGACACGGCCCAGACUCCUACGGGAGGCAGCAGUGGGGAAUAUUGGACAAUGGGCGGAAGCCUGAUCCAGCAACGCCGCGUGAGGGAUGACGGCCUUCGGGUUGUAAACCUCUUUCAGUACCGACGAAGCGCAAGUGACGGUAGGUACAGAAGAAGCACCGGCCAACUGCGUGCCAGCAGCCGCGGUAAUACGUAGGGUGCGAGCGUUGUCCGGAAUUAUUGGGCGUAAAGGGCUCGUAGGCGGUUUGUCGCGUCGGGAGUGAAAACGCCGUGCUUAACACGGCGCUUGCUUCCGAUACGGGCAGACUAGAGGUAUUCAGGGGAGAACGGAAUUCCUGGUGUAGCGGUGAAAUGCGCAGAUAUCAGGAGGAACACCGGUGGCGAAGGCGGUUCUCUGGGAAUGACCUGACGCUGAGGAGCGAAAGUGUGGGGAGCGAACAGG